rnacentral:piRNA from 1 species
GCUGAGACUUGGUUCCAAAAUGGUGACUU